CGCGGUAUUUUGACCGUGCGAAGGUAGCAUAAUCAUUAGUCCUUUAAUUGGGGGCUUGUAUGAAGGGUUGGACGAGAGAUUGGCUGUCUUUAUGGAGAAGGAUGGAAUUUAACUUUUAAGUGAAAGGGCUUAAAUACUUUAAGGGGACGAUAAGACCCUAUAAAGUUUGACAUUUUAUUUGUUAAAAAAUGAAAUAAAAGGGGAAGAUUUUAUUAGCGGAGAUAUUGUUUGGUUGGGGCGACUGGAAUAUAAGUAAUUUAACUGUUUUGAGUUUUAUAUACAAAGAUUUUUGACUUUUUGAUCCUUAUUAUAAAGAUGUUAGAACAAAUUACUUUAGGGAUAACAGCGUAAUUUUUUUUGAGAGUUCUUAUCGACAGAAAAGUUUGCGACCUCGAUGUUGAAUUAAAGAAUUCUUUAUAGUGCAGAAGCUAUAAAAGAAGGUCUGUUCGACCUUUAA
rnacentral:rRNA from 1 species